CGAAGGGGGCUAGCGUUGUUCGGAAUUACUGGGCGUAAAGCGCAUGUAGGCGGCCAUUCAAGUCGGGGGUGAAAUCCUGGAGCUCAACUCCAGAACUGCCUUCGAUACUGUCUGGCUCGAGUGUGGAAGAGGUUGGUGGAACUGCAAGUGUAGAGGUGAAAUUCGUAGAUAUUUGCAAGAACACCGGUGGCGAAGGCGGCCAACUGGUCCAUUACUGACGCUGAGAUGCGAAAGCGUGGGGAGCAAACAGGAUUAGAUACCCUGGUAGUCCACGCCGUAAACGAUGAGAGCUAGCUGUUGGAAAGUUUACUUUUCAGUAGCGCAGAUAACUCUUUAAGCUCUCCGCCUGGGGAGUACGGUCGCAAGAUUA
rnacentral:rRNA from 1 species